rnacentral:rRNA from 1 species
GCUAAAACAGUCAGGAGGUUGGCUUAGAAGCAGCCACCCUUUAAAGAAAGCGUAAUAGCUCACUGAUCGAGUCGUCCUGCGCGGAAGAUGUAACGGGGCUAAGCCAUAUACCGAAGCUGCGGAUGCGAGCUUGCUCGCAUGGUAGGAGAGCGUUCCGUAAGCCUGCGAAGGUGCCUUGUAAAGGGUGCUGGAGGUAUCGGAAGUGCGAAUGCUGACAUGAGUAGCGAUAAAGGGGGUGAAAGGCCCCCUCGCCGUAAGCCCAAGGUUUCCUACGCAACGUUCAUCGGCGUAGGGUGAGUCGGCCCCUAAGGCGAGGCAGAAAUGCGUAGCUGAUGGGAAGCAGGUCAAUAUUCCUGCACCGUCGUUAGAUGCGAUGGGGGGACGGAUCGCGGAAGGUUGUCCGGGUGUUGGACGUCCCGGUCGCUGCAUUGGAGAAGGCGCUUAGGCAAAUCCGGGCGCGGAAUUCAAGGGUGUGGCGCGAGCGACUUCGGUCGCGAAGCAAUUGGAAGUGGUUCCAAGAAAAGCCUCUAAGCUUCAGUCUAACGAUGACCGUACCGCAAACCGACACAGGUGGGCGAGAUGAGUAUUCUAAGGCGCUUGAGAGAACUCGGGAGAAGGAACUCGGCAAAUUGGUACCGUAACUUCGGGAUAAGGUACGCCCUUGUAGCUUGACUGGCCUGCGCCAGGAGGGUGAAGGGGUUGCAAUAAACUGGUGGCUGCGACUGUUUAAUAAAAACACAGCACUCUGCAAACACGAAAGUGGACGUAUAGGGUGUGACGCCUGCCCGGUGCCGGAAGAUUAAAUGAUGGGGUG